GGGGAAAUAAAAAUCCAGUGAGAAAUGCCAAAUGGGAUUUUGAUCUUCAAACAGCAGAUUUCUCUGUCCUAUAUUCAGCCCCUGAUGCCCUCUCCACUGACUCCAUUGCUUCAUGCUCAGCCCAGCAGGAAGGAAGAAAAAAAUCUAUUGUUUUUGCAACUUUACCUACUCUCAAGCCCAGGUGCCUGGCUCUCUGUUUUCUCCCUGAGAUUGGGUGCAACACUCCAAGAGCCAUUUCCAGAUCAAGAGCUCUUCUUCUCCUUCUGUGUGGCCAUUCAAUCCAGUGUGGAUACCCUAGCGCUGUCAAAGGGAGAAUGAGGAUCUGAGUCUAAGCAAAAGUGAGAAGGUAGGAUGAAUAACACAAAUUAUGUGGAGAAGUAUAUUGAGGUGCGUUAUUGAAAUCACAUUUCCCUGCCUGUUUCAGAAAAUCAAUUAAAAAAAAAGACUUAUGCAGAACACUGACUGGGUAUAUAAAUUAUUGAUUAAACAUUCUACUUAAAACAUAGGUACCAGAAAAAAUCAGGAGCAUGUGUAGUAGAAUAUUUCUUUAUUGUUGUGAA
rnacentral:lncRNA from 1 species